UGGCGGCCUUAGCGCGGUGGUCCCACCUGACCCCAUGCCGAACUCAGAAGUGAAACGCCGUAGCGCCGAUGGUAGUGUGGGGUC
rnacentral:rRNA from 2 species